GAAAAAUUGUAUACAAAUUUUGUUUCUUUUUGCCUCUUUUUUUGGCAGACCGGAUUCUGCACUUAACCUUUAUUUUUAUUUUUUUUUAUUACCCGGCAAAGAUGUCUUUCAAUUUCAAGCCAUCUCUGGAAAUACCUGUUGUAAUAGCAAUAUUGACCCUCGUGUGCCUCGCUGACAUCUCGGACAAUUUAACCUAUGAAGAUCAAGACAGCGAUGAUCCUUUCGAACCUACCAGCUGCUCAUCGUCAAAUUUGAAACUGACAAACAACGUAUCUUUUCCGGCUAUGAACCUUUUUACUCCCAAUUGUAUUAAUAAGAAUGCUGCUGAUAAAGAGCGUCUGAAUAACCUCAGGAAAAUAAGAAAUCUGGACCCGCCUCUGCUACGAAUUGUCAACAGUGUCCUUUAAAUGAAGGAGAGUCUACUUACUAAGGGAAGAACAAUAGCUUUGCUAUCCUGUCUGAUGAUGAAGAUGAUACAAUGACUAUUGAUCCUAUCACCGAGCCUGAGCUUGGCCAUGGCUUAUCCGAGCCUCUCCAACUUAACUUUCCUGCGGUAUAACCAAGCAAUGCCUCUCAUACUAAAACUAAAAAACGCGAUCCCUGUCCCCCUCCCUUUCUGUUGAAGGGUGUCACUGAUGUUCGAAAACUAAUUGCUUUAAUUUCAUCUGUGACUACAGGUUUUCGCUCAAAAUGACUGGUCGAUAUUCCUGUAGAAUUACUGUGGACUUCGGAAGUGUAUACCGUGUGGUCAGCAUCUUUAAAUUUAAGAACAAAAGGGGCUUUCGAGUCGUCAUCAAGGGUCUCUCUGCGGCUACUGAGAUAGCUGAAAUUACUGCGAGAUUUAAAGCCUUGGCGCACAAGGCGUAAUGUAUACAACCCCCCUGGUGAGAAUGGCAAGGCUAACCGGGAUAUAUUCUUUGUUGAAUUGGCACCAGCGAGAAACAACAAAGAAGUUUAUGAUGCUCGCACAGUAGGUUACCAGGUGGUGUAAGUAGAACCCCAGCUACAGAGAAAAGGACCUUUAAGGUGUUUCCGAUGUCAAGAAUUUGGACUUUCUAAAAAAAACUGUUGGUACGCUUUGAUCAAAUGAUGUCGAUGAUGACGGCGACGUGAUGUUUAAGCACGCCACCCCGCUGGGAUCGACGCAUUGCGAUGACUAAUUACGGGCUAAAUAUCGCAAAUCUCUGGAGGCUGAGCAUGUUCUCCAUGAACGCAACAUUGACGUUAUACUUAUUUCGUUAUACUUAUUUUACCAGCUGUUUUUUUCCCGUAUUUAUGGAUAUGCUGUAUUCUGCGUAAACCACCCUGAUGAUCGGCAUCGUGGUGGUGCUGCCGUUAUCGUUAAGUCCUCCCUCGACUAUCACCUAAGCGCCACAAUAUCAGAGCCUCAUUUGCAAACAGUUGCCAUAAAUUUGGUUACUGGGCUUGGCAGAAUUUCGUUCGGUGCUGUCUACUGUCCUCCUGGUCACCAUCAUUGUUAGUCAGCUCAUGAAUAGCUGCGCCUGUUUGGCUUUGUGGGUAAACGCUUUCUUAUUGGAGGGGAUUAGAAUGCCCAUCACAUUUUCGUGCACCUGGUCACCAUCAUAUCUGCGCCAGUUUGGUUCUGUGGGUAAUCGCUUCCUUAUUGGAGGGGAUUGGAAUGCCCAUCACAGUUUCUGGGAAUGAAGGCGUUCGUGCACUCGGGCAAAGACUCUAAUGUAGGAUGUUUCUAACUCAAGAAUGCAGAUUCUGGUCACUGGUGGACCUACGCAUUUUCCAUGGAUUAAUAACCACCUUCCGACGGCUAUAGAUUUUGCGGUGUACAGUGGCAUCACGUGUACACACCUUGCUAUUCCAAAGUGUACCGGUCUUUUCUCUGUCCGACUUUCUGCCCUGACUAAGAAGCAUCCCUCUCUUACUACCAUAGACAAAGUUGAUUCCUCUGCAGAGUUCUUAGUUGACUAGAUCCACUAAGCUGCCACUCCAGCUAGAAGUGUUUCUAUUCCUCCGCCAGUGGGACAGCCAAGCAGAUGAGCUGCACUACCAAAAAGCAAAUAACUUUAUGUUUAAGCCGUAAGUGCAGAAGGAAAGUUAGGCCUAACCAAAAACUUUGUUAAAGCACUUGACAAAGAAGGUCCUGCUUUUAAACAUGUUGUGUAACUCUUCCCGAGACUUUCAUACGCGAAAAUAAAAGAAGCA